rnacentral:rRNA from 1 species
ACUCCUACGGGAGGCAGCAGUGGGGAAUAUUGCACAAUGGGCGCAAGCCUGAUGCAGCCAUGCCGCGUGUAUGAAGAAGGCCUUCGGGUUGUAAAGUACUUUCAGCAGUGAGGAAGGCGGAGUCGUUAAUAGCGGCCUCGUUUGACGUUAGCUGCAGAAGAAGCACCGGCUAACUCCGUGCCAGCAGCCGCGGUAAUACGGAGGGUGCGAGCGUUAAUCGGAAUUACUGGGCGUAAAGCGCAUGCAGGUGGUUUGUUAAGUCAGAUGUGAAAGCCCGGGGCUCAACCUCGGAAUUGCAUUUGAAACUGGCAGACUAGAGUACUGUAGAGGGGGGUAGAAUUUCAGGUGUAGCGGUGAAAUGCGUAGAGAUCUGAAGGAAUACCGGUGGCGAAGGCGGCCCCCUGGACAGAUACUGACACUCAGAUGCGAAAAGCGUGGGGAGCAAACAGGAUUAGAUACCCUGGUAGGAUAGCG